CAAGAAACGAGGCUACGUGCCCCGCUCUUACCUUGCCUACUGCACUAUCUGUUGCUUCCUGGCGGCGGUUUGCCUGCCGCCAGGGACAUUGUAAAGCCCUGUAUAAGCAUUAAAAACUGAAACAAACCGAAUCGUA
rnacentral:misc_RNA from 1 species